rnacentral:rRNA from 1 species
AUUGAACGCUGGCGGCAGGCCUAACACAUGCAAGUCGAGCGAGCGGCGGACGGGUGCGUAAUGCCUGGGAAUUGCCCAGUAGAGGGGGAUAACAGUUGGAAACGACUGCUAAUACCGCAUACGAUUGGAUUGACACGGGGGGGUUAGCUAGUUGGUGAGGUAAUGGCUCACCAAGGCGACGAUCCCUCGCUGGUCUGAGAGGAUGAUCAGCCACAGUGGAACGGAGACACGGUCCAGACUCCUACGGGAGGCAGCAGUGGGGAAUAUUGCACAAUGGGGGAAACUCUGAUGCAGCCAUGCCGCGUGUGUGAAGAAGGCCUUCGGGUUGUAAAGCACUUUCAGCGAGGAGGCGUUACUCGCAGAAGAAGUACCGGCUAACUCCGUGCCAGCAGCCGCGGUAAUAC